rnacentral:rRNA from 1 species
CUGGCUCAGGACGAACGCUGGCGGCGUGCCUAAUACAUGCAAGUCGAGCGGACCUCUUCGGAGGUCAGCGGCGGACGGGUGAGGAACACGUGGGUAAUCUGCCUUUCAGACCGGAAUAACGCCCGGAAACGGGCGCUAAUGCCGGAUACGCCCGCGAGGAGGCAUCUUCUUGCGGGGAAAGGCCCAAAUGGGCCGCUGAGAGAGGAGCCCGCGGCGCAUUAGCUGGUUGGCGGGGUAACGGCCCACCAAGGCGACGAUGCGUAGCCGACCUGAGAGGGUGACCGGCCACACUGGGACUGAGACACGGCCCAGACUCCUACGGGAGGCAGCAGUAGGGAAUCUUCCGCAAUGGGCGCAAGCCUGACGGAGCAACGCCGCGUGAGCGAAGAAGGCCUUCGGGUUGUAAAGCUCUGUUGCUCGGGGAGAGCGGCAUGGGGAGUGGAAAGCCCCAUGCGAGACGGUACCGAGUGAGGAAGCCCC